GCGCCCCUCGCGGCCAGGGUUCGAAUCCCACCCCCGCUUCCAAAUCUCCCAGCGGUCUCCUGCGGGCUCCAGCCGCCGCCGCCGGGACGCGCGCAGGGGGCUGCGUGCUCCGGCGGCCGCCGCCGGGACGCUCGCGCAGGGGGCUGCGGGCUCAGCCUCCACCGCCGUCACACGCGCCAGGGGGCUGCGGGCUCAGUCGCCGCCGCCGUCACGCGCGCCGACGUAGGGCUCGGGCGCCGCCGCCGGGACGCGCGCCGGCUGCGGCCUCCGGCAGGUGCAGAUCCGCCGGCCGGUCUCGCCGCCAGCAGGGGCGAGAUAAGGGGCCUCCGCUGCCGCCGCUGGGGCGGCUCCAGGGCCUCCGCAGGCGGGCGCACUGCGGAGCGGGAGUUUGGGACUGGCGUCCGCCGUGCGUCGCGCCCUGCGCGUGCGUGACCCGCGGCCUCCCCGCUGUUAGGGUUCGGGAAAGGGGUUCCACGGCCAGUGUGCGCGGCCACCGCUGUCCGCGCCCGACUUCGAUCACUGCCCGCCGACGGCGUCCCGGACGACUUCGUGGAGUUGUUCGAUUUCAACGGUUGCAACAAAAAGUUUGUUUUGCAGCUCGCGACUGAGGGGGAAGGAGGCGAUGGCGGUGGUGUCGAGCACUCGAGCAUCGGGAUCAUGGACGGCGCCUACUUCGUGGGUAGGGGCGAGAUCCUGCACUGGAUCAAUGCCACCCUCUAGCUCUCCCUCGCCAAGGUCGAGGAGGUCAGGCCCCUUUCUCAUCCCCAAUUUAUUGGGCCACGCUUGCUUGGUUCAAUUUGCCAGGUUAAGGGUUAGGGUUUGAUCUGUCCGAGAGUAUCGCGAUCUCUUGUUCACGCGGAUUAUGUGGUCUGGGAAUUGUUUGAUGUGUGGCGCGGUGCGGAAUUUUGUGCCGAUUGGUUGUUUGUUAUCCCUUUGCCGCUGAUGGAUAUGGUUCAUCCCGGAGUGGUGCAGAUGCAUAAGGUUAACUUUGAUGCAAAGACCGAAUAUGACAUGAUCCAGAACUACAAGAUUCUUCAGGAUGUGUUCAACAAGCUGUGCAUAAUCAUGGAAACCCGUCGAGGGCUCUAUCCUGUUGAUGGGCAGAAUAUGUGCAGAAGCUAGACUGUAUAACCAGCCACUUAAAUUCAAGAAAGUAAUGUGGCGCGUUGGUCACCCGAUGAUGCCCCAUGAGGAAUCUGUGUCUUCAGCAGCGGUUGGUUCUACUAUUAAAGUAAAAGCUGCUGUAAUUGUUGUGUUCGCAUUCUGAGGGAGAGCUGUUAGUUUGAUGUGCUUAACACGGGAAGAGGAUCAUUUGAAGAAAAAAAAAUCCAUGAGCUACAGGCAAAGAAUGAAGUCAUGUUGUUAUUGGAUCACUGGAAACAAGCUGAUUUGAUCCGUUGGUCAUUCUUAAAGCAGCACAAUGAUGAAGUGGCAUGAUUAAGUUUUUUUCUUUCAGUGCAAGCCUCUGAUAUGCAGUAUGCAUGUUCUUGCAAGGGCGGAAAAUAUGUGCCACUCCUGUAUGUUGAUCUGACGAUGAGUCACUUUGGUAACAGCAGCCUGGUGAGAUGAACUAAUAUCAACGCCCCGUUCGGCGGGGUGGGAAAGAACCCCAGCCGCAGCUGGUUCUUGCAUGUUGUGGCUGGUCUGGAUCGGUGGAUAAGCAGAUGGGUUAUCAUUUUCAAAUGGCACUAUCAGGGCUGGAAGUACAUUGGUGUUGGUCAGCUCUCCAUCGCAAGAAAAAACAUGCAGAGGGCUUUGUAACCAUGAAUUGUUGAGAAUCAGAGGUUGGCUUCAAUCUUCGACUUCCUCCAACUGAGAGCAUGGGAUUGCAUUAGCCUAUCAUGUCCUGAACUCCUAAUACCAAUUUUCAAGCUCUGAUUAGCUUCCAAAAAGUAGGGGAAACGACAGCCUUGAGCCUGUCCUUCUGAGAUGGUUUAUGCUUUUUGUCUAGCAUUUCUUAAGAUAAUGCACUCGAACUUUUUGAACGGCGGAUGGUCAGCCGGUGUAUGGUGAACGGUCUGCUGGAAAAUUUUGGAACCCGUGUUUAUUUUGUACGUUUCCCGGAAAGCUUGUUCUUCUGCAAUGGGGUCAGCUAUGAUACUUGUUGAUUCUUCCUAAGCAUCCUCAUUGGAUUCUGACAUUGACAGUCUUCAUGAUGUCUGAUGCUAAGGGAAAAAGACAAUGGAAGGUGUCCAGACCAUAUUCCAUGUCCUAUGUGAGUAGCCUUAAAGAGUUGCAAAGUACUUGGCUCUGCACCAAUUUCUACAUUUCUCUGUAAGUGCAAUAUUAAAUGACUUUAAUACCAUACAACUUGUUUAAUGUAUUGGAAGUGAAAAACAAUGUAAGAAAUAUUUACAUUUUCCCAACUGCACUGCGAGUAUGGUUUGGAACCCAUCAGAUGAUUUGUUCUCAAAUUCUGUCGAUUUGAAGAGUUCUGGCUGCUAACUAACUGCACCCAGCAAACAAGUAAUGUUUAUCAAUGUAAAUUUGAAUUGAUAAUUCUAUACUUGGUUUGUAAAGUAGUGUUGUACCUUGAACUUCUUAGUUCCAAAGUACUUGAUCAAAUAGUGCCACUCCACAAUAUCUAAGUCUUCAGGCCUGUUUUUCAUCCUCUCAUCAUAAGUGUUGAAUGCCUUUUAGGUAGCACUAAAAGUGGCUCGCCAUCCAUUGUAGCAUUUUUUGUGCAAUCUUCCAAUUCUUUUCCAUCAUUUCAUUAGCGUUUUCGAUAUCCCAACAUGUCUGUAUGAAAGAAAAUGGAUAUUUGUAAUGCAACCUUUGUAGGUAGCUAAUGAAGUGUCCACCACUAUGCAUGAGAUAAAUGAAUAAAUAUGCAUGUGUCAUUUACAUACCAUAACUGCAUGUGCGAUACUAUUCUUGACAUUUUCUUUCACAUCUUUCCACCGUCUAACUCCAAUUAGUGGAGCCCUUUUCCUUGUAAACAUAACCAUUUCGUCCACAAAUGUACGCCUGUUUUCUCCACAUGGACCACCCCGCUUUGCGGAAAAUUGAAUUUUUAGCUUUUGAGAGAGAGAGCUCCAUCUCUUGGCCACUGCAGUAAUCCCUUUCAAGGUACCACGUCCAGUUUUCUUGCCACCAUCUAAGAAUAUAGACAUAAGAGCUUAUAUUAACUACUGAAGAAUAAAGACUAUAGUUUGCAAAUAUAUUAAUCAUGUACCAUAGUCUUUACCCUUCAGCUUCUUUAUUUUUCCUAGCUUGAAUAGCCAUUCUGUUGGAAGUGAGUCACUGCUACCAUUUGCAUCAUUAGGUUCUGCGCAACGCUUCUCGAAUGCUUUAUAACACACUGCCAAAAAAUGGAUAAUAGAUGAGCUAAGUACAUUGACAAAUUUCAUUAGAAAUUGGAAGUGCAAAAGAACAAAGAAGUACUGAUGUCUUUUAGCUGUCCUUGGUGCCUUAACAAUUUACUUAAUAGUUAUUAUAGUUUCUUCCAUGAAAUCAUCUCGUAGAUCUGCAAGUAAUGAACGAUAGUAAGUAAUUUAGUAAGCCUCACUAUUCCAGAGUUAUUCUUUAGUGAACUAGAGCCUUGGGCCAUGAGCCAAUCUUUGUAUGCAUUAAUUUCAAAAUGAUCAUCCUCCUCCUCGUUCACACCAUCCUCAUUGUCAUCACUCUCAUUAUCUCUCAAUGUUUUCAGGGAUGUAAUUGGCACAUGUUGUUGUUGUUGUUCCUCGGUUGUCAAUACAUCCCUAAUUUUCUUUUCAAACUGAUUGUGAUUAACCAUGUCAUCUCCAUCUUGUAUGAAAUCUAUUGCCUCAUAAGUUGCUGAAUCAUUACCACAUCUCUUUUUGUAGUAAAAGUAGUCCCGGGUACCAUAGCCAAGCUGCGAUUUCCAACUAAGCAGAUUAACAUAUGAUAUUUUGAACAAGGAUUGGGGCUUCCUUGUUUUAAUUUCUUUUCUGGGCUCCUGUAUUAUUACGGGAUCCAACUUCAUCAUCUUACCCCCAAUUCUUUUGUUCAUCUUUCUAUCUUCGUACAUUUGUGCGAAGCUUUUCUGGGCAUCGAGCCCCAUUUUGAACUUUUCCUCCAUCUUUUCCACCUCAAACCCUAGCCAAACUCUAGUAAAUUAGAUGUAGUUGGUGGUGCGGGGAUUCAGGUUAGGCAUGGGAUGGAUAAGGUUUAUAUCCCCUAUAAACUAUCGAGUAAAGUAAUCGACAAGAAGCCAAAAUGGUUGUACAUAAAAAACCAUGGCGAUACCCUUCCAGUGAUUACUCCAGGUCCCCCAACUCAGAGGCCUGAAUGGAACAAGCCGGUAGAUGACAGCCAAAUUCCGGAUCUACUCGAGCGGAUUGCCGAGCUGAGGCAAAGACAUUUAACCAGAGAAGUUGUCUUCUUUAACUAGAUGAAGCGAAGGAUUUAGUCGUUAUAGGCUCGAUAGACAUUUGGCUUUUAGUAUCAAGGAACAAGUGACCCAUCGCGGUACUCGAAUAAAGAGAUCUCUAAUGGAGAGGUUCUUAGUCGAGUACAGCGACUACUUAAGAAGGUGGAGCAUGUGCCCCUUAUCCCUGAUACUUUUUCAGCAUCGAAUCCUCCGAAACAGGUAUGAACAAAGUAGUUGAUUUGUUUUUUCAAGUACUUUAUUUGUAAGUUUCUAAUAGAAUUUUUCUUUUGUUCAGAAGGACGUGGAUGUGUACAAAAGCAGCCCUCCUUGCCAGGCAUUUUUGAUCCUUUUCACCUUCUUCCAAGCGCUCAUGCACCGCCAAAACCAAACCUAGAAGAAUCUUUAUCUAUGGAGAUUUAUAUAGAUAGUUCUGAUAGUGAGUUUGAUCGUGCAGAGGCUGGGGAAGCUGUUGGUGAGGAGGAGAGUGGGGGACGGAGCCCCAGCCUGAGCGAGGGUACUCAGGUGGAUCACCCAAAGGGUACUCGGACAACAGCACAGAAGCAUCGAGGUUCUUCGCAAUCCGGCAUUGAUAGUUUGACGGGCAAGAUUCCGUGGACUACAACAUCUGGGGAUGAUGCUAGGGUGGGAUCAAUAGUGCCUUCCACCCCAGUGGACCCAUCAAAUGGGACGGAAACUAUCCCGCCACAGAAAACUGCACUGGUGGGUAGUACCAAAGGAGGCAGUGCCGACACUGAUGGGAGCAAGGCGAUGGUCGUCCAGCCUACUCCCAAGUUAGGCAUGCCGAAAAAGUUUUCCCUGAAGAGAGCACCUGCAUAAUAACGUGCUCCUAGAGGCCGGAGAGCCUGGUGGAAGUACUUCCACAGCCCCAAGCCUUCAAGCGAGGAUCCUACGAGUACCACUGAUGCGGAUGCUCGUGCUACAGAGGAGAUGGCGGAUUCCAUGCUACGGGAUUCGCCAGUUCCUGAGAUAGAGGAGGGGCGCUAGCAGUCGGAGGAUGUUCCUGCAUGUCCUCUCAAUCUGGGGGAUCCUGCGGGAAAAACUGGCGAGAUGCCGCAUGCAGAGGCGGCCCUUGUGGUGGGGACCAACACUUCCGUUGCUCCAUCGAGAAGUGCCCUGCCACAAGUAGAUAGAAUGAAGCUUGCGCAAGAGCAUGUUGGCCUUGUGAAAAGCUUUUGAUGGAGCUGACGGAGCAGGGGAGCGGCAAGCUCCAGGACAAUUCAGAGCUACUCGCUCUAAAGGAACGAGUGUCCAGGCUCACGACCGAAAAAGCUGCUCUCAUGGAGAAGAACAAGAAAAUCUCCAAGGAAAAAAGAGCACUCCCAAAAUCAUUAAGGAUUCAGGAGAGUACGGUGCUUGAUCUAAAGAUUCUUAUGUAUCGAAACACAAAUGAAAUCGGGAAGCUCCAGAAGAUCAUGGCAGAUUCCGACAAGGAGAUGCUUGAUGAGUUGAAGGUUGCGGCACAGGCUGUGGUAGACAUGGUAGAGAUACCCGAGGACAAUGCAGAGGCACCACUCUCUUUGGCGGGGAAGCUUCAGAAAGUUCCUCAAUGCUUUCUGCAGUAUGUCUCGGUAACCACCCGACAGUAUGUGUCACACGUACUCGGGUUGGUAAAGUCCUACUGGCCGCAGACAUCACUGGAUCCGCUAGGUGAGGGAGUGAAGUCAGACUACAGUGAAGAGCAGUUUGACCAGUACCUUUUUGAAGUAUCACCUAUUGCUGAUAGGAUAGUGGAUAGCCUAAGGAAUGCCUGAUCUUUUGGUCUUUGUAAUCGAAUGAUGUAAUGAGCUUCUGGAGCUCCAAAAUACUCUUUGAGUUGUGUACAAAUAUUUAAAUUUGCUUUUCA